GUCUAUGGCCAUGUCACCCUGAACAAGCCCGAUCUCAUCUGAUCUCAGAAGCUAAGCAGGGUUGGGCCUGGUUAGUACUUGGAUGGGAGACCACCUAGGAAGACCAGGUGCUGUAGGCA
rnacentral:rRNA from 1 species